UAGUAUCGUCGUCAUCUGUAAUGGAUUAAAAAUAUUCAACAAAACAUAAAGUCACAUGAAGGUUUUUGAUUUGGUAUUACUUACAAUUUUGAGAUGGUUAAGACCUUCUGUAUCAGGUUCUUUAUCACCAAAAACUUGCUUCACUUCUUCUCGUGCCUUAGCCUGCCAGUCUUGGUGUUGGCUUAGCAUAACCAUUGUCCAGACAAGAAGUACUGAAGUUGUCUCUUGUCCGGCAAAGUAGAACAACUUGCACUCCUCUAUCACAUCCGCAAUGCUCAUUCCAGUUCCUUUAGUUUGUCCUAAAUUUGAUUCAAGAAGUGUACCUAGCAAGUCUUCGCUUGGUGCUUCACCAGAUUCUCUCGCCCUUAACCUUUUGUUGACUAUCCCUCUCAGUAUAUCUUGGACUUCUCUGGCUGCUGCUUUCAUCCUUCUAUUACCCUUCGUUGGGUAGUAUCUACACAAAAGAACAACAACAUGGUUUAUGUCUCCUAAUAGAGCAAGUGGUUACAUGGUCAGACCAUGGUUAAAGUAGGUUUUAUUACCUGUAUCCAGGGAUGAAAAUUCUCCUAAAAGCUUGUGUAAGGAGCAGUGCUAGUUCAGCUUGGAGCUCAAAUAUCCUCUGCCCUUCUUUGUAGCUGCUUCCAAAAGCAGUACGAGAGAUCACAUCAGCAGUCAUACUCACAAGUCCUAGCCACACGUCCACCUCACAUGAUGAUCCUUUGUCCGAGACUAACUUGUCCCAUUUGCCAACAACCUCGCUGCAGCUCUGGUGGAACGCAGGUACCAUAUUCUAUACAGAGAACACACAAGGUACAUAUUAGAAUAUACAUACAUACAUAAAGAACGGUAAAGUAAAAUUCAGGACUAUGAAAUAAGGAGCCUAGACCUUGAUCUUCUCAAGGUGGAAGGCAGGGUUGAUGAUUCUACGGUGUUUAGCCCAUUUAUCACCAUCAUAACUAAACAGCCCAGUGGCUAUCAAUCUUCCCAAAGGGAAUGAAUGAGGCUUCUGGAAAUCAUAAAUUUUAUUGAACACUUCUUUGAUUUGCUCAGGAUCCGUAAUGGUGAUGGUUGGUAUAGGUCCACGCCAUGUAAAGAAAGUCCUUCCUGUUCCAGCCACAUAGAGAGAUACAAUACUUAGUAACCUUUUUGUCUAGUAUAGGAAUCAAGAAACAAACAUACCGUAAGUCUUUAGCAUGUGCGAGGGGAAAGGCACAACACGUGGGAUGAUAUCAUCCGUUGUUUUGAUGGGUUUGGACCUUGCCUCCAUUGACAUGGUAUAAUCCCUUCUCACAUCACCAACGAGUGGCGUGUAAGGACUACCGGAAAGGCCUUGUCUUCUCAGGUAACUUUCAAGCAUCUUUGGUUUAAACCAAACCCAGUUUAGAGUUCUCCAUACCCACCACAGCACAGCAACUAUAGCUACUGAAACUGUAACGGACGCAGCUGAUGUUUCCAUUUUUAUUUCCUAGGAAAGAGAAUGAGAGAUAUGGAUAAUCUGCUGAUAUUCUUGGGAUCUAAAUAUAUAUGGAUGUGGUGAUGACAUCACCACUUAUGUCAUAGACAAGAUAUUAUUUUGCGUCUCCGAUAAUGAUUCUGUUGUGACCGUUUAUCUUUUGCAUUAUUUGGAGCCUCAGAGUCAUAUGCCACGAGGGCGAGGCAACAAUUAAGAAGCAAAUUUAGACUUGCGUAGUUGAAAAGAGGCAUGACUUGACGUCGACCUUUUCACAUUUCUUUGUCACUCCAUCAAAAGGAAGAAACAUUAGUCCACUAAAGUCUAAAAGUGAUUGCCAUUGUCUAUGCAAUGACGUAUUUUUUUCUCUUAAAAACCUAUGGACUAUUAUUAAUUUAUAUUAUAUGAAACGUUAAGGACUUUGUCCACUAAUUGGUUUUUCUAAUGUCACAUAUCCUGCUAGAUACUGUGAGUUUGGGGCAUGUUUUUAAGGUUACAGGCAUGAGACGUGGGAUAAUAUGAUCCGUUAAGCUGAUGGGUUUGGUUCUUGCCUUCUUUAAAACUAUGAAACUCCUCAAAUCUCCAAAAAGAGACGUGUAAGGAGUUCCUGGUAGAUUAUGUUCUUUCAAGUAACACUCCAACAUCUUAGGUUUUAGCCAUUACCACUUCAGAGUUGUCCACGUCACGAGAAAAAUAGUUAUUAAAUGUAAAACAGAGAUCUCUACUAUGUAUGUAACUAUGUAAGAGGCAUAGAGAAGCAGACGCAUAUAAUUUUCAAAACGUCAUUGGUCUUUUAAAUAAUAAUAACUGGAGGUGGUAAUGUCUUAGAUGGCUUUAAUAUGUACAUCUGUCUUAAAUACAUAAAACAAGAUUUUAUUCGAGUAUUGUAUUAUGAUCUGGACUCAGUUUCAUCUGUGUAUUACAAGUUUCUUUUUUAUAGGAUUAGGACUAGAGCUUGUGCAGGAUAAGAUGAGCACCAAACUGUGGGUGAAUUGUGAUGACUGUGUAAGGAGCAUGAACGUAAGAAGGAGAUAACUCGAAGGAAAAUCUCUGCAGAAUCAAUGCCAUUGCCAUCUUUGCCUCCAAUAAGGCAAAGUUCUGUCCAAUGCAGAUCCUCGGUCCCCAUGCAAAGGGAAAGAAGGAGACUUGGCUCUUCGUUGCCUUUGAGAGACCUUCUUUGAACCUUUCAGGCUUGAACUCCGCAGCAUCGUUCCCCCACAGCUCGGUGUCAUGUUGAACUAGCAGGAUAGGUAGACUGAUCUGAACGCCGCCUGGUAAUGUCAGGUCUCCUAGCUUCAUCUCUUUGUGAAUGGCUCGUGACACCUGUGUCACUGGAGGAUAUAGCCUAAGAACCUCAUACAAGAUCAUCGUCAUCUACAAGGGAUCAUCAAAUCAUUCAGCCAAAAAAAAACAAAGAGUACUUGAGUCACACGAAAGGUUUAUACUUACAACUUUGAGCUGGUUAAGACCAUCUAUAUCAGGUACUUUAUCGCCAAAGACUUGUUUCACUUCUUCUCUUGCCUUAGCUUGCCAAUCUUGGUGUUGGCUUAGCAGAACCAUUGUCCAAACCAGAAGUACUGAAGUUGUCUCUUGCCCGGCGAAAUAGAACAGCUUGCAUUCCUCUAUCACAUCCUCAUUGCUCAUCCCAUUUCCUUUAACUUGUCCCAAAUUAGAUUCAAGAAGUAUACCAAGCAAGUCAUCGCUUGGUGCUUCACCAGCCUCUCUAGCCCUUAACCUCUUGUUAACUAUCCCUCUCAGUAUAGCUUGGACUUCUCUGGCUUUUGCCUUCAUCAUUCUAUUUUCCUUCGUUGGAAGAUACCUGAGAGAUUAUGACAACAUAGAUCAAGAGUCAAGUUCUAAAGUCCUUGUAAUAACAUAUUAAUUACCUAUAUCCAGGAAUGAUGUGCUUUCUAAAAGCUUGUAUGAUGAGCUGAGCUAGUUCAGCUUGGAGCUCAAAUAUCCUCUGCCCUUCUUUAUAGCUGCUACCAAAAGCAGUACGAGAGAUCACAUCAGCAGUCAUACUCACAAGCCCUGGCCAAACAUCCACUUCACAGGACAGCCCUUUGUCCGAGACCAACUUGUCCCAUUCGCCAACAACCUCGCUGCAGCUCUGGUGGAAAGCAGGUACCAUGUUCUAUACAUAUAAGCACAAGUGUCACAAAAUUGUGUCAGCCUAAUUGUUAGGAGAUCUCGGAGAUUACAAAAUCGCCUAGAAUAUUUUUCCAUGUAACUAUUAGAAAAUAUAACUUAUGAUACCUAACACAAAUGAUACACAAACCAAUCAAAACUCUUCAUGGAGCUAAUACUAAUACCUUGAUCUUCUCAAGGUGGAAAGCCGGGUUAAUGAUUCUUCGGUGUUUCGCCCAUUUAUCACCAUCGUAGCUAGCAAGUCCAGUGCCUAUCAACCUGGCCAAAGGGAAGGUAUGUGUCUUCGGGAAAUCAUAAACUUUGUUGAACACUUCCUUGAUUUGCUCAGGGUCCACUAUGGUGAUGGUUGGUAUAGGUCCAAGCCAUGUAAAGUAAGUUCUUCCUGUUCCAUGCCAACCACAUAAAGAUUGAAAACGUUUUCUAGACAAAGAGGAAUCAAGAAGUAUGAGAUAACCAGGAAACAUAUAUAUAUAUAUAUACCAUGAGUUUUGAGCAUUUUCAAGGGAUAAGGCACGAGACGUGGUGUGAUAUCAUCCGUCAGUUUGAUGGGUUUGGAUCUUGCAUUUUUCAGCAAGCUAAAGUUCCUCUUCAAGUCGCCGACGAGAGGAGUGUAAGGACUACCGGAAAGACCUUGUCUUCUCAGGUAACUCUCAAGCAUCUUUGGUUUAAACCAAACCCAGUUUAGAGUUCUCCAUACCCACCAGGACACAACAGCUAUAGCUAUUGAAAGUGUUGCUGAUGCAAUUGAAAUCUCCAUUUGCUCUCACAGAGACAAGAGAGACGUAGGUUAGAGAGAUGGGUAAUUUGCUAACAUUCUUGGGAUUUUAAAGAUUUAGAAUAUCGGAGAAGAUAUUGCUGUGGUGAUGACAUCACCCUGAUGUCUUAAAAACUUUAUUUUUGGUAAUAAAUGUUAAAUAGUAUAUAUAUCCUGUGUAUCUCAGCCAGUUGUUUUGUUUGGCCAAUGAUCUUUUGACUGUACUUGGAGCUAGGGCUGGGCAAAUAAACCGAAUCCGAAAACCCGAACCGAAUCCGAUCCGAUAAAAAUGAAUCCGAACCGAUCCAAACCCGGCGUAAAUACCGAAUGGAUCUUGUUUUGUGGUAUUUCGGGUUAUGGGUAUUAUCCGAACCGAACCCGAAUUUAAAUGGAUAUCCGAUAGAACCCGAAACAUUCAAAACCUCAAAAAGAUCUUGUACCAAACAUGAUCUCAAUUCCAAAUAUGUAUCCAAAAUACACUAAAAAAUAUUGAACAUCUAAAAUACUUAUCUAUUACAUGAAGAUUGGUGGUUCUAUUACAUGAAGGUUGAUGGUUAAAAAUGGUCGUUGAAUCUUGAAGUAUUUAGAUUUUGAUUUUGUUUUCGUUAAACAAUGUUUCUCAUGAAUUUCAUGAGAACUUGGUUUUCGUUUUAUGUUUUUAUUUAUUUGGUUUUCUUUUUAUCAGUAAAUAUGUUUACUUUUCGUUUGAUUUUGAAUGAUCACUGUUGAUGUUCCUUAUUUUUGAAUCGAUUUUACUUAAGUUUUGGUUACAAAAUAGGUACAAAUCAGGUAUUUUAAAACUGAAGAACCGAUUUUACUCAUGUUUUAGUUAUAAAAUAGGUAAAAAUCAGGUACUUUUGAACCAAAAAACCGAUUGGGACCUGAACCCAAAAGUAUAUUGGGUUGUACCGGUUCUUGGAAGAUUUACUAACCCCGACCCGAACCCGAUAGAACCCGAACCGAUCCCGAACCGAAUUUUCAUAUAAUCCGAAUGGGGUUGAUUUUGAUAAACCCGAAAAACCGAAACCCGAUUGGAUAAAACCGAAACCCGAUUGGGACCCCGAAUGUCCAGGCCUACUUGGAGCCUCAAAAGUCACAUGCCACGAAGCUCCAAGAAGUACAUACACAUUUGGAUUUGGGUAACAGGUGACAAGUGUAUUUUUCAUAACUUAAGUGGCAGGUAAGGUGCGAACGUCGUCAACUUUUUUGACGUUUCUUUGUUAAUAAUCUCAUCCAUUUAAAUUACUGUUUUGUUUUUGUUCUUUGAAACAUAACGAUUAAAUAUUUUUGUUUUCUCAAGAAAUAAAUAAUAAAAAUGUUAGAAUCUUUCUCUGGUUCAAAUCUUAAAUGUUUUUUCAGUUGAUAUUAGCGUAGCAAAAAAUGGGAUGGAAACCUAUGGAGUGCACUCAAUGCAGAAACUUUUGAGUUAGAGUUCUAGUUUUACUACAAGCGAGAAUAAGUUCUUGUGUUUUAUAUCUAGAAGCUUUGAUUAGGACCAAAGCUAACGUGUGUUUUGCACGUUUAUUCUCUCAUAUUGGGUCUUAUUUUCACAACAGAGAAUCUCUAUAUGGGACACUGUGUUCUGACUUAAAUACAUAACACCAUAAUGAGUUGUGUUAUGACCUGGACCCGCUUCUUCAGUUAAUGAUAAGUUCAUUGGACUACAUCACACAGAAUUAUAGCUUGCGCAGGAUCAGAGGAGCACCGAACUGUGGGUGAAGCGUGAUGACAGUGUAAGGCGCAUGAACAUAGGAAGGAGAUAGCUCAAAGGAGAAUCUCUUUAGAAUCAAAGCCAGAGCCAUCUUUGUCUCCAACAGAGCAAAACUCUGACCAAUACAGAUCCUUGGUCCCCACGCAAAGGGAAAGAAAGACACUUUGCCGUUUGUUGCCUUUGAGACACCGUCUUUGAACCUCUCUGGCUUAAACUCCGCGGCGUCUUCCCCCCAUAGCUGUGUGUCACGAUGGACUAGAAGAAUAGGUAGACUGAUCUGAGCACCGCCUGGUAGUGUCAAGUCACCUAGCUUCAUCUCUUUGUGAAUGGCCCUGGUCAGCUGAGCUACUGGAGGGUAUAGCCUAAGGACCUCAUAUAGUAUCAUUGUCAUCUGCGAAGCGUCAAAUUAAUCAACAAAAAUUACUGGAGUCGCUUAUCCUACUACUACUCUCGUCCAAACAUGCUUAACUGCAGCAAGAGUAGUACUAAAAUUAAAAAGUUAAAUCAGCUAACGGUUUUUGAUUUGGUUCUACUUACAACUUUGAGCUGGUUCAGGCCUUCUGUAUCAGGUUCUUUAUCACCAAAAACUUGCUUCACUUCAUCUCUUGCACGAGCUUGCCAGUCUUGGUGUUGGCUUAGCAGAACCAUUGUCCAGACAAGAAGUACUGAAGUUGUCUCUUGCCCGGCGAAAUAGAACAACUUGCACUCUUCCAUCAC
rnacentral:lncRNA from 1 species